CCUACGGGUUGCAGCAGUGGGGAAUAUUGCACAAUGGGCGCAAGCCUGAUGCAGCCAUGCCGCGUGUAUGAAGAAGGCCUUCGGGUUGUAAAGUACUUUCAGUCGGGAGGAAGGUGGUGAGCUUAAUACGCUCAUCAAUUGACGUUACCGACAGAAGAAGCACCGGCUAACUCCGUGCCAGCAGCCGCGGUAAUACGGAGGGUGCAAGCGUUAAUCGGAAUUACUGGGCGUAAAGCGCACGCAGGCGGUCUGUCAAGUCGGAUGUGAAAUCCCCGGGCUCAACCUGGGAACUGCAUUCGAAACUGGCAGGCUAGAGUCUUGUAGAGGGGGGUAGAAUUCCAGGUGUAGCGGUGAAAUGCGUAGAGAUCUGGAGGAAUACCGGUGGCGAAGGCGGCCCCCUGGACAAAGACUGACGCUCAGGUGCGAAAGCGUGGGGAGCAAACAGGAUUAGAUACCCCGGUAGUC
rnacentral:rRNA from 1 species